rnacentral:lncRNA from 1 species
CCAUCCCCCCCAUCCCUCGGGGAGCAGCUGCUGCACACGACAAUUUUGUCAAAGCCUGAGAGUGGCAGACAGCCACUGGCCAGCCCAGAGGAGCGCGUGGCCUCCGCCGCAGCACAUCUGGGUUAAAAACAGCGUAAACCUGGUUGGGACGUCUGCAUUUCAACCAGCAGCCCCACCAAGGGCAGGAAGAGCUCGAGGGCCCUGCUCCUCCUCCAUUCUGCACCCCUCGGAUGAGCCGCUCUAUUCCAAAGCCUGAGUCACCACGAGGACCCAGUUCAGCCCUUCAGGAAGCUGCUGGUGGCACUGGAUUUUCGGCAGGGAUUCAUGUCACCCUGAAUGAGUAAACUGAGUCCUGCUGGUUGAGCUGCUCAACAAGUUAUCACCCACAACCUGCAUGGAGGACACAGGAAAUGUCCUAUGCAGAAGCACGCUGAGAUAUGUUCCAGCUGGGCUGGCAGUGGCUGCUGCUCUUCCCCAGGAAGAAGAACUUCAGGUUGCAGCAGGAAGUGAACAGAGCCGGCAGAAAGCAUGGGGACAAUCAGGAGUAUGUGUAUCAGAGGACACCACACGUUACAGUGACAUCCCAUGUCACAUUCCAGCACCAUGCUGCAUAACAGAUAGGAAACGUUCCUGUGUGUGUCCUGUUGCUUCGCAUGUCCCUGUGCCAGUGAGAGAGUGUGGUUAUCCAAAACCAGGCAACCUCAGUGAUGUUGUGGAAGGAGGAGUGAAGUGA